rnacentral:lncRNA from 1 species
AGGAGGAUGAAACCUUGAACCGCCACCUCCUCUUUUUUCUUCUUUUUUGGUUGUUCUAUCGACGUAAUUUCAGGACCCAAAUGACGACCUCGCGGCGGUCAAAAAAUGCCGGAGCAGGUUGAUGCCUUCUUCUUUUCUUUUGGUUCACAAUUUACCGAAAUAGAACGCGAUGGAUAAUAGACUGGGGGUUUUAGUUUUUUUAAGUUAAAGUGAUGACCACUAUUAUUGAAUUAAUUUGCUGGAUGAUGGUCCUAUAUUACGUAUGUUUUAAUUAUUGGAAUGAAGGUGAUUCUGUAUUAAUGUUAAAAUGAUGUUAAUUGAUUCAAUUUAUGUGUUGUUUUCUGUUUGUUCAUGAGAGAUAACAUAAUGUUUA